GAUGAACGCUGGCGGCGUGCCUAAUACAUGCAAGUCGAGCGAACAGACGAGGAGCUUGCUCCUCUGACGUUAGCGGCGGACGGGUGAGUAACACGUGGAUAACCUACCUAUAAGACUGGGAUAACUUCGGGAAACCGGAGCUAAUACCGGAUAAUAUAUUGAACCGAAUGGUUCAAUAGUGAAAGACGGUUUUGCUGUCACUUAUAGAUGGAUCCGCGCCGCAUUAGCUAGUUGGUAAGGUAACGGCUUACCAAGGCAACGAUGCGUAGCCGACCUGAGAGGGGGAUAGGCCACCCUGGAACUGAAACGCGGUCAAUACGCCUAAGGGAGGCAGCAGUAGGGAAUCGUACGCAAUGGGCGAAAGCAUGACGGAGCAACGCCGCGUGAGUGAUGAAGGUCUUCGGAUCGGAAAAAUCUGUUAUUAGGGAAGAACAAAUGUGUAAGUAACUAUGCACGUAUUGACGGUACCUAAUCAGAAAGCCACGGCUAACUACGUG
rnacentral:rRNA from 1 species